rnacentral:sRNA from 1 species
GGACUCUCAGAAGAAAGACAAGCUGCUCUGCAGCCAGCUUCAGGUAGUGGAUUUCCUGCAGAACAUCCUGGCUCAGGACGACACUGCUAAGGGUCUGGACCCCUUGGCUUCUGAAGACACGAGCCGACAGAAGGCAAUUGCAGCUAAGGAACAAUGGAAAGAGCUGAAGGCCACCUACAGGGAGCACGUAGAGGCCAUCAAAAUUGGCCUCACCAAGGCCCUGACUCAGAUGGAGGAAGCCCAGAGGAAACGGACACAACUCCAGGAAGCCUUUGAGCAGCUCCAGGCCAAGAAACAAAUGGCCAUGGAGAAACGCAGAGCAGCCCAGAACCAGUGGCAGCUACAACAGGAGAAGCAUCUGCAGCAUCUGGCGGAGGUUUCUGCAGAGGGUAAGCUGUUGUUCCCUGAGGCUGAGGCUGAGGCAGAGAAUCUUCCAGAUGAUAAACCCCAGCAGCUGACUCGACCCCAGGAGCAGAGUACAGGAGACACCAUGGGGAGAGACCCUGGUGUGUCCUUCAAGGCUGUCGGUCUACAACCUGCUGGAGAUACAAAUUUGCCAUGACUUCCUGGAGGACAACAGCAUGGAGAAAGAUCCUAGAACAGGUCAGACCCAAUCAGGCCUUGGUGUCCCUGGACUGCAAGUGUGGAAGGAGGGAAAGCCUGGUUUACCUCUCUCUGCAUCUGAGCUCUGCUACCCAUGGAGCAGAUGGAUGGUGGGAACAGGAAAGAGCUUAUGUUACACCUCAUUCCCAUGCCCAGCCCACCCAGAGCUAACCCCUGUCUUCUUCCCCA